UACGGAGGGUGCAAGCGUUAUCCGGAUUCACUGGGUUUAAAGGGCGCGUAGGUGGGUUGGUAAGUCAGUGGUGAAAUCCCCGAGCUUAACUUGGGAACUACCAUUGAUACUAUCAGUCUUGAAUACUGUGGAGGUUAGCGGAAUAUGUCAUGUAGCGGUGAAAUGCUUAGAUAUGACAUAGAACACCAAUUGCGAAGGCAGCUGGCUACACAAUUAUUGACACUGAGGCUCGAAAGCGUGGGGAUCAAACAGG
rnacentral:rRNA from 1 species